rnacentral:lncRNA from 1 species
AAUACUUGGAAUUGUCUUCUUUGCCAAGUUUUAGAAGCUUCUGUUAUGGGAAACAAACAUUCAUAUUCCCAUCUUUCAUAUAUUUCAUUGUUAAAGGGUGCCCUCGAAUGAAGAUAUUCUCAUCAGGAGUCACAGUAGCACCAUACCUGACAAAAAUUGAAGUGGAAGAAAGAAAAAAGAGAUGGAAAGGUGAUCUUAACACAACUAUUGAACAAUUGUUCAUAGAUAAGGUACACAAUUGUCAUUUUUAAUUAUGAAAAUUAUUUACUUAUUAUUCACAUAAUUAUCCUGAACACUUACUUGGAUAUAACCCUGAAUGAAAAAUGUUUGAGCACACACACAAAUAAUUAAAAAAAGCAGAGAAGAUUAUUCAAUGUGUUUGUGCCCAUGUAAGAAAUGCUCUAAUUACCAAGGCUUACAAUAUUAAUUUGGUGCAUGAUUGGACGGUGACUUUGAUAUUAACUAUGGAUAAAGAAAUGAAAUUUUCAUCGGUUAGUUAGUUAGUUAGAGUAAUAACUAUAUUCAGUUAACAUUCAGUUGUCAGUGAUUUUCUAUAAUAAAAUUAAGAACAUGCUGCAUUAACUUAUGUGUUGAGUUCUGUAAACUGUUAUAUUACUCAACUAUAUAAUCUCUAAACUAAUAAAAUUAACUAAAAGGUCUCUAAAAUAUUAUCUCAUCUUACUAUUUAGUUCCUCGUUUAACACACACUUAUUAAAUUGACCGUUUGUUGUACUUAAACUAUGAAAAUACAUCAUAAGUUUAACUCAAACUAUUAUGAAAAACAACUAAUUAGUUUCUAAAUAUUCAAUUUUUGUUGAUAAAGACACCAUCUCUUCUCUAACCCAAUAUAUAGUUUAUAGACAUUUUAGAUUUUUUUUUUUUUACAAUUUAUAGACAUUUUAGUUGAUUUUUAUAGUUUAGGGACUAAAUAGUCUGCGAAACAAUAGUUUAGGACCUUUUAGUUGAGUGUUUAUUUCUAUAUGUUACAUACCUUAAUGUCGCAAGGAAAUUAGGGCCAGUUUGGUGCGCAGGAUAGGAUAAGAAGUUGGAUAAUGAUAGGAUAUGAUAGUGACAGGAUAAACACAUAUCCUAUCAUAUGUUUGGUUCAUACAUGAUAAGAAAAAGGAUAAUUAACAUUAUUUUUUCCUAUCUUGUGUUUGGUGUAUACUUGAUAUUGACACGAUAAGAUACAUGUUAUAUAUAAAUGACAAUUAUUAAUACACUUUUUUUUAUAAACAUAAUUUUAAAGAAUAGGUACCAAUAAAAAAAUUCUUCUUACAAAUGAAAUAAAUUGUAGGUUAAAGACUAUCUAUCUAGAUCAUGAACCUUUUGAAGAUGAAUAAUUGUAGUUUACAAUAUUAUUACACAUGAUUAAAUAAUGGUUAAAACCAAUUUUGAUAUGCCUCUUGAUAUGUUAAUUAAUUUGACUGAACAGGUUGCAUUUCGUAAUUUUAAUUGUUUAGCCUUAUCUGACUACCCGGAGCUAAGAGAUUUGUGGUAUGGCCAACUUAAUCACGAUGUGUUUUGCAAUCUGAAAUCCCUAGUAGUGGAAAGAUGUGAUUUUUUAUCACAUGUACUUUUACCAUCAAAUGUAAUGCAAGCGUUGCAUGGAUUGGAAGAAUUAGAAGUAACAGAUUGUGAUUCAUUAGAAGCUGUGUUUGAUGUGAAAAGUAUGAAGUCUAGAGAAAUAUUGAUAAAACAAAGCACUCAGUUGAAAAGUUUGACUUUAUCUAGUUUGCCAAAAUUGAAGCAAAUAUGGAAUGAGGAUCCUCAUGAAAUUAUCAGCUUUGGAAACUUAUGCAAGGUGGAUGUUUCUAUGUGCCAAAGCUUGCUAUAUAUCUUUCCAUUGUCACUAUGCCAAGAUCUUGGAAAUCUUGAAAUGCUUGAUAUAGACUCUUGCGGAGUUGAGGAAAUUGUAGCAGUGAAAGAAAGAUCAGUGGAAAUCAAUUUUAAUUUUCCCCAACUGGAUACAUUGGUACUUUGUGAUUUGACAAGCCUUAAGAGCUUCUAUCGGGGAAAGCAUGCUUUACAGUGCCCUUCCCUGAAGAUUUUGAAUGUAUACCAUUGUGAAGCAUUAAGAAUGUUUUCAUUCAACCAUUUAGACUUCCAACAGCCUAACAAAGCAGACGGAAAUCCCAUCAUACCUCAACAAGCUCUAUUUUCUAUUGAAAAGGUAAAUCCAAGCAUACUUUUUUUUCCCUCUCAGUUUAGCCCCAACCUCGUAAACUAGUAUUAAUUUUGAAUGUUUAAUUUAAUUGAUUAGGUUACCUCAUAAACUAGUAUUAAUUUGUUUUUCAGUUGAGCCCCAACCUGGAGGAAUUGGCAAUAAAUGGCCCGGAUGUGAUGGAGAUAUUGAAUCAAGAAAAUGUCUUUCAUAAAGUUGAAUUUCUUCGUUUGCAAUGCUUCGAUGAAACUCCAACUAUUUUUCUGAAUGAUUUCUUUACCACAUUUCCACAUCUUAAAAGAUUUCUAGUGCGUAAUAGUUCUUUUGAAACAUUGUUCCCCACUAAAGAAACCACUGAUCAUCUCAAUAUGCAUGUUUCAACUCAAAUAAUAAGUUUCUAUCUUUAUGAAUUGGAAAAUCUCAAGCAAAUCUGGCAAAGAAGACUUCCCAUUGGAUCAUCCUCUGUUACAAAAUCUUGAAGAGUUAUUUGUAGGGGAUUGUCCAAGUUUGAUAAACUUGGUACCAUCGUCAUCUUUCACAAAUUUAACAUAUUUGGAAGUGGAUAACUGCAAAGAGCUUAUUUAUUUAAUAACAUCCUCAACAGCUAAAAGUCUUGUACAACUCACAACAUUAAUAAUAAUGAAUUGUGAGAAGAUGUUGGAUGUUGUGAAGAUUGAUGAAGAAAAAGCAGAGGAAAACAUCAUAUUUGAAAACUUGGAAUACUUGGAAUUGUCUUCUUUGCCAAGUUUUAGAAGCUUCUGCUAUGGGAAACAAACAUUCAUAUUCCCAUCUUUCUUACGUUUCAUUGUUAAAGGGUGCCCUCAAAUGAAGAUAUUCUCAUCAGGAGUGAUAGUAGCACCAUACCUGACAAAAAUUGGAGUGGAAGAAGGAAAGAAGAGAUGGAAAGGUGAUCUUAAUACAACUAUUGAACAAUUAUUCAUAGAAAAGGUACACAAUUGUCAUUUUUAAU